CGCCAGACUCCUACGGGAGGCAGCAGUGGGGAAUAUUGGGCAAUGGAGGAAACUCUUACCCAGCAAUGCCGCGUGAAUGAAGAAGGUCUUCGGAUUGUAAAGUUCUUUAAUUGGGGACGAAAAAAAUGACGGUACCCAAGGAAUAAGCCCCGGCUAACUACGUGCCAGCAGCCGCGGUAAUACGUAGGGGGCAAGCGUUAUCCGGAUUUACUGGGUGUAAAGGGAGCGUAGACGGCCAGACAAGUCAGAAGUGAAAGCCCAGGGCUCAACCCUGGGACUGCUUUUGAAACUGCCGGGCUGGAGUGCAGGAGAGGUAAGCGGAAUUCCUAGUGUAGCGGUGAAAUGCGUAGAUAUUAGGAGGAACACCAGUGGCGAAGGCGGCUUACUGGACUGUAACUGACGUUGAGGCUCGAAAGCGUGGGGAGCAAACAGGAUUAGAUACCCUCGUAUC
rnacentral:rRNA from 1 species